UCAAACUUGGUCAUUUAGAGGAAGUAAAAGUCGUAACAAGGUUUCCGUAGGUGAACCUGCGGAAGGAUCAUUAUUGAAUGAAUUUGGUUGGGCUGUUGCUGGCUUAAUUACAAGUAUGUGCACGCUCUACCGAUUUUUUCUUUAUCACCUGUGCACUUAUCAUAGACUUUUUUUUUCCUUUCUUUUUUGUAUUUGUAUGGGGGGUGUUGCAAUUUGCUUGCUGUCCCUGACCUUUUUCAAAUCAAAAAAGAAAAGAAAAGAAAAGAAAAGUCUAUGUUUUUCAUAUAAACCCUUAUUUGUAUGUCUGUAAUUGUUUUUGGGCUUAAUUUGCCUUUAUUAUAUAUAUGACAACUUUCAACAAUGGAUCUCUUGGCUCUCGCAUCGAUGAAGAACGCAGC
rnacentral:misc_RNA from 1 species